UACGUAGGGGGCAAGCGUUGUCCGGAUUUAUUGGGCGUAAAGAGCGUGUAGGCGGCCAGGUAGGUCCGUUGUGAAAACUCGAGGCUCAACCUCGAGACGUCGAUGGAAACCAUCUGGCUAGAGCCCGGAAGAGGAGAGUGGAAUUCCUGGUGUAGCGGUGAAAUGCGCAGAUAUCAGGAAGAACACCCGUGGCGAAGGCGGCUCUCUGGGACGGUACUGACGCUGAGACGCGAAAGCGUGGGGAGCGAACAGG
rnacentral:rRNA from 1 species